rnacentral:rRNA from 1 species
UACGUAGGUGGCAAGCGUUGUCCGGAUUUACUGGGCGUAAAGAGCGCGCAGGCGGUCAGAUAAGUCGAAUGUGAAAGCCCCCGGCUCAACUGGGGAGGGUCAUUCGAUACUGAUCGACUUGAAGGCAGGAGAGGGAAGUGGAAUUCCGGGUGUAGUGGUGAAAUGCGUAGAUAUCCGGAGGAACACCAGUGGCGAAGGCGACUUCCUGGCCUGUUCUUGACGCUGAGGCGCGAAAGCUGGGGGGGCAAACGGG